GCCCCCAUCGUCUAGAGGCCCAGGACGCCACCCUUUCAAGGUGGAGAUCGCCGGUUCGAAUCCGGCUGGGGGUACCA
rnacentral:tRNA from 1 species